CACUAGGGGGUGGUAGUGUCACGCUUACUGUGGUGUUGGCGGCAUGAAAACCGGAAGGAGAAGUCUCAGCAAAACAUGUAAAGUUCUUGAGAGCGUCUUCCAGAGCGUGCAGUGCCAUGUCAGCGUUCCUCUUCUCACAGUUGUAUCCCAUCAAUCCAAUCCUCAUCACCUAUUGUAAAGAGCAGUGCAUCAGAGACCACAGUGACUCAGCAGCACAAUUCUGACAGCUAUGAAAACACCCGUCUGAUAACCGUAACUUUUAGGUAAGGUAUAUAAUUAUUGACACAUCAGUGCCAAAUACACUCUGAAAUAGUGUUGAAUUUAACUACUUUUUCCUGCUAAUUCAUUACAAAUGGACGAGAUGAAGGCAGAUGAUCUGCUGUGGCGACCCCUUAAGGUAGUUUAUUAGUUGAUUGUGAGCUGGAUGAAAGUCUUUGUUGUUUGUCGAUUGUGUUUAUGUCUGUAAGAAAUAUGUACUGUAUAUAAAAACAGCAGCCACAGCUCACCAUGCCAAUGGAAGGGCCCAGGCCUCCAGUCAUCUCCAUGUUGUGGUUUUUCAUCAUAAAGGCCAACAGCUCCCUCCAGUCAUAGCCUUCAGGGAUGGCAAUGGUGGUGACGGAGGGAAGCCUCAAAUCCUGGAGCACGUUUCAUGUAUUAAAAAACAAAAAUCUGAUCCCAGCAGAGCAACACCUCAGGAAAUGCUACACUGCAAUUGGGACUAAACAUGGCAAGAGCAUUUCAUCUUUACAAUUAGUUUCUUAAAUGUCAGAUUUUAGCAGUAGUUUUGUAUGGCAGCAGCUGAUAUUUAUCAUACAGUUUUGUAGUAUGUCUCUCUCACCUUGUCAGGAAUGAAAAGCUUUAAGCCAAGGUCUUCCAAUCCUCUGUACAGAUAGGCUGCCAACUCCUUGUGUUUCUUCCAGGACUCUUCCAGCCCCUAGAGGGAGACAACGUGUCAGAAAGAUGAGUGGAGAUGCUGACAGGGGCCACUGAGUGUAUAAUUUGUGUGGUUUAUGUAUAAGGUGGUGAAAAGUACCACCACCAAUGUCUGGAAACAAAAUGUCUGUCCUUUACCCUCUCAGCAAGAAUUGACAGACUCUCUCUCAGAGCAAAGAAUCCUGACACAGGACCCGUGUGAUGGUAUCUAAAAGCCAGAAUAUAAUUGAUUUAAUAUUAUCUUUACCAGCAAACACUGGUGUAAUAGGUCAACACAUUGGUUUUACUUACACUCUGGCAGGUUUGCCAUCACAACCCCAGUAGUUGGCUAAAUGUGUCAUGUCAAAGAGGUAGGAUACUGGUUUUGUUUUCCUGUUAAACAUCUUGUGACUAUGAAGGAAAGGCACAAAAAGAUAACACAGCUUUGAUUGUUUGUUCACAAUUCCACAGGUUUGGGACAAAAUGUAGGCCUUGUGUAUGGAGACACACGCAGAGGUACACACAACACUCACCAUGCUCUGUCAUUAAAAGAGAUGGGAGCUGUGCCAGGAGGUGCAUUCAGAGCUUUCUGAGAACCAGUGUACAGGAUGUCAAUAUCUGGAAGCACAUAUUGGAGAGACAUAUUAUAUCACAUGGGAGUGCAAGGUGCAACAGGGAGAUACAGGAUGAGCCUCACUUUUGGCAGAUGUCUCCAAUGCCAUCUAUUGGGUGACAGAGGCCAGCAGAGGAUUCUCCAUGUGUGAGGAAAAACAGGACUGGCUUGUGUUUUACUAUGGCCUGCAAAUAAAACUAAAACAUUUACCUCAUACAUUUCUGCGUGCAAGUGACCAAUUAUCGGCUUGGACCCAGCAG